AUACUUAUUCGGGAACAGGCUCGAUUUUUCUGGGAUUUUUCGAUUUUUACUUUCCAUAACUGGCAGGAUGACACGUGUUUUUCACUGCAGUUUUAUUGCUUCGUGUGCAGGUAGGGGGUCGCGUUGCGGUUCCUCAGUCGUUUGACUCGGUCUGCUUCUUUUCUGGUGGUUCUGUUGUUGGUACGCGUAGAAAUAUCCUGAUUAAGCGGCCCAGCCUAAGCGGUGCUACCGUUCAAAUAGAGGCAGCUAGAUCCAUCUUCUCUCCACGUUCCCAGUCAACAUCUCCACCCCCACGGCCGCAACAAGGAAAAAAUCCCCAACCCACACCCUCAGCCCAACCAACUCAAAACUGAGUGGAGAAAUAGGGGAAGGAUUGGGCGGACCGCACGGCGCGGCGGACGUCCGCCGGACCGCGAGAUGAAGGAUGCGUUCGACGCCUACUUCCGCCGGUGAAUCUCGACCGCAACGGUCGAAUCAGCGGCCAGGUCUGGCUCUGCUUUUCGCCUAGAUCGGCGGCGUCCUGGACGGUGCCGGCAACAUCCCCCGCCAUGGCCAUGUGCCCGAGCACAGACUUGAGCCUCACGGGCAGCCCUAAGCCACCUCUAGCUCCAGAAUCCAUUUUCCUGGCCGUCGUACGGCGCCACCGCCGUUCGUCAUCUCCGGAACUCCAGCACCUCGCUAGCUUUUCCAGCUGUACAUCCAGUAAUACUGAAGUACAUUAUGUAUUCUGCUGGUAAAUUUUGGAGCUGAGAUGUAUUUUUUGAUUUUUUUACAUCCAGAAUAAUGACAGUGGUUGAUGUAUUUUGUUUCCUUUUUCUACAUCCAGUAUCUCUCUUUUUUUCCUUUUUCUACAUCUAAGAUUUUGAAAAUAGUAUGUUUCCUAGAUCUGGAUGUAAUUAUAGUUGGUUCUCCCAAGAUUUAGAUGUAUUUUUUUUAUUUUUUUACAUCCAUCCCUACUAUAGAUUUUUUACAGAAAAAUAAGAUGGUGGAUACGCACUUUACUUUUUCGUCUUUUUUGUCUGAAUUUUGUAAUUCACGGAUGCGGAUGUAUUUUUUCUCCACGGAAAAAAGAAGGAUGCGGGAGACUUGCAGUCGAACAUGGGAAAGAGAAGGCGCGGUGGAGUGGAGUAGUUCCUAUUUUUGGACAAUGCUGGCUGUCAGGCUGCAUUUUUUCUAUAUUUGCGUGGGGCACUCCCUGUUGUAUUUAGUUGCCUUUAUAAUGGUUGUUCAAUGUAUUCAUACAUUAUGAUAUAUCUCACCAUUUUGCUCAUAAUUUGUUGUUUUGUUGUUCUCUCUAGGUGAUUCUGCCACGGGUGACUCUGCUGAGCAAUCAUGGACUUUCUCGGUGGCUCUGCUUAUCCUCCUUUUGCAGAGUGCUCUUCUUCAGGUUCAACUUCACAGUCACUUGGCCCGUGACAUGUUGAAUGAGCGGUAUUUUGGGCUUCUUUACUUGUGAGUGCCAACAUCGGUAAGGAAACUAAAGCCAGCCAAAGGAUUAGCAAAUUUUGUUGCCUAACUGCCAAAUAGCUACCAGAGACAUAGAAGAGGUUCCAAUCACUUAGCCCUUGACAUAUAAAAUGAGCGAUAUUUUGAGGUUCUUUAUUUGUGAGUGUAGCAUCAGAGCUAAAGAAUCAGCUAAACAGCUACCUGCGACAUUGGAGAGGCUGUAGGGCAAGUUCAAAGGUGCAACAAAUCCGAGCUUUACCCCGAAUUGGAAUCUUGCUAUCUUGCUAUCUCUUACCCGGUGGUCCUGAAGUAUUCCUGUGGCAUUGUACAUAGUACCAACAUUGAGCUAGGUUGAGUAUUUGGUUUUGGUUCUCAGUUUGUGUACGUGCAAACAGCUGUGGAAUAAUAUUCAGCUUCUGUACUCAUAAUGCACUCUGCCCGUUGCUGCUUAUAUGUUUCUUUCCAUUGAA